rnacentral:rRNA from 1 species
GACGAACGCUUUCGGCGUGCUUAACACAUGCAAGUCGAACGGAAAGGCCCUGCUUUUGUGGGGUGCUCGAGUGGCGAACGGGUGAGUAACACGUGAGUAACCUGCCCUUGACUUUGGGAUAACUUCAGGAAACUGGGGCUAAUACCGGAUAGGAGCUCCUGCUGCAUGGUGGGGGUUGGAAAGUUUCGGCGGUUGGGGAUGGACUCGCGGCUUAUCAGCUUGUUGGUGGGGUAGUGGCUUACCAAGGCUUUGACGGGUAGCCGGCCUGAGAGGGUGACCGGCCACAUUGGGACUGAGAUACGGCCCAGACUCCUACGGGAGGCAGCAGUGGGGAAUAUUGCACAAUGGGCGGAAGCCUGAUGCAGCAACGCCGCGUGCGGGAUGACGGCCUUCGGGUUGUAAACCGCUUCCGCCUGUGACGAAGCGUGAGUGACGGUAAUGGGUAAAGAAGCACCGGCUAACUACGUGCCAGCAGCCGCGGUGAUACGUAGGGUGCGAGCGUUGUCCGGAUUUAUUGGGCGUAAAGGGCUCGUAGGUGGUUGAUCGCGUCGGAAGUGUAAUCUUGGGGCUUAACCCUGAGCGUGCUUUCGAUACGGGUUGACUUGAGGAAGGUAGGGGAGAAUGGAAUUCCUGGUGGAGCGGUGGAAUGCGCAGAUAUCAGGAGGAACACCAGUGGCGAAGGCGGUUCUCUGGGCCUUUCCUGACGCUGAGGAGCGAAAGCGUGGGGAGCGAACAGGCUUAGAUACCCUGGUAGUCCACGCUGUAAACGGUGGGUACUAGGUGUGGGGUCCAUUCCACGGGUUCCGUGCCGUAGCUAACGCUUUAAGUACCCCGCCUGGGGAGUACGGCCGCAAGGCUAAAACUCAAAGGAAUUGACGGGGCCCCGCACAAGCGGCGGAGCAUGCGGAUUAAUUCGAUGCAACGCGUAGAACCUUACCUGGGUUUGACAUGGAUCGGGAGUGCUCAGAGAUGGGUGUGCCUCUUUUGGGGUCGGUUCACAGGUGGUGCAUGGCUGUCGUCAGCUCGUGUCGUGAGAUGUUGGGUUAAGUCCCGCAACGAGCGCAACCCUUGUUCACUGUUGCCAGCACGUUAUGGUGGGGACUCAGUGGAGACCGCCGGGGUCAACUCGGAGGAAGGUGGGGAUGACGUCAAGUCAUCAUGCCCCUUAUGUCCAGGGCUUCACGCAUGCUACAAUGGCUGGUACAGAGAGUGGCGAGCCUGUGAGGGUGAGCGAAUCUCGGAAAGCCGGUCCCAGUUCGGAUUGGGGUCUGCAACUCGACCUCAUGAAGUCGGAGUCGCUAGUAAUCGCAGAUCAGCAACGCUGCGGUGAAUACGUUCCCGGGGCU